AGAGUUUGAUCCUGGCUCAGAUUGAACGCUGGCGGCAUGCUUUACAUAUGCAGGUCGAACGGCAGCACGGGUGCUUGCACCUGGAGGCGAGUGGCGAACGGGUGAGUAAUGCACCGGAACGUACCCAGUAAUGGGGGAUAACACAUCGAAAGAUGUGCUAAUACCGCAUACGCCCUGAGGGGGAAAGCGGGGGAUCGUAAGACCUCGCGUUAUUGGAGCGGCCGAUGCCGGAUUAGCUAGUUGGUGAGGUAAGAGCUCACCAAGGCGACGAUUCGUAGCUGGUCUGAGAGGACGACCAGCCACACUGGGACUGAGACACGGCCCAGACUCCUACGGGAGGCAGCAGUGGGGAAUUUUGGACAAUGGGCGCAAGCCUGAUCCAGCCAUGCCGCGUGAGUGAAGAAGGCCUUCGGGUUGUAAAGCUCUUUCGCAAGGAAAGAAAACUUAUCUACUAA
rnacentral:rRNA from 1 species